GGGAGAUGGGCAAGCUCUAACCACACCAGCUGUCAUAAAUAUUCAGCUGCGAGGUUUCUCUCAGUCAUUAGAUCCACCUGGAGACACUCUCAGUGCUGCAGACGUGGCUACAGGAGUUUCAUGCAAUGUGUGACUUCCAAAUCAAUCUCUUUCCAGCAGGCAGAAUGAACUGGCUGCUCACGUCUGUGUGCCUCGAAGAGGAGAUCCAAUAAAAAAGGGAAUUCAGCCAGGGAUGAGGACUCAUCGCCUUCCCUUGGAGUGCCUGGAUGCCUCCUCAUCUCAUCAAACACCCACCAGGAAGUUUCAACCAGGGUCCGAAUGCCUGUGUCCAAGGCUGUGAAAGACGUUUGUUUCAGUUGCCAACAUCUCUACAGAACUAAUGUGGGUGGAUUGUGACAGAUAUAAUUUCUCCAUCCUACAGUUUCAUCAACUUGAGUUCUGUUAAACUAUACCCGCUGGGCUUAGCUCCUUUUAAAGUUUCCGCUUUGACAGGUAGAUUUAUUAGUCUUGAAAUUUGUACAAAUCAGAUGUCACUCGUGGCAACUUGUCAAAAUGUCAGUCUGGUGAGGGAGGCAUGAAAGGAUUUUCUGGAGAGAGACGGAAGGCAGGCUUGAAAGAGCUCGAGCAAGGCAGAAGAAAGGAGCUGGGAGGGAUUGCAGCGUGCUUGAUCCUGGGGGUUUUACUUUAUUAAAUAUCUAGCGCCAUACAGUGGGAGAUGCUGCUGGAUCCUGCCCGCCAAGACAUCAAGGCUGUCAACAUCCGCUGACGGCUGCGGCGCUCCCGGCUGCCUUCCCCAGCUUGUUAUGGAUAUUUAGGGCAGGGCUGAGGCGUGGGGAGGGGUGAAGGCUCGGCUUGGUUGGAAACGCUCCGUUAUCGCCCUAACGAGGCGCUGGGCCAGGGGAUGGGGACCUGCCACCAGCAUCCUCCUCCUGCCCCCUCCGCAGCCCUGACAGCCUUCAGAGAGCCUCCAGGGGCUGCAGGAAGCCUGGGGGAACAUCCCUGGGUGUACAAACACUAUAUCCAGGUGUUUUUCCUCGUGGCAUUGGCAGUUUGCUGCAUGAACCGCUGCUCUGGUCUGGGCCCUUCUGGGCUGUGCCUAAACCCCUUCUUGGGAUGUGUUUGGGAUCAGCUGCUGCCCAGGCCCCGGUGCUGCCCAGAGUGAGGGGCUGGGUGUGCAAACCCAGCUGGGGCUGAGCUGCUGAAGCCCUGGAACGUUCCCAGUGCUGGGCUCGGACAGACGGAGCAGACUGGGGCCGGACACACGGACAUGCUCUGCCCCACCAGCCUGGGAAGCUGCAGGCAGCAGAAGCGACCUCCCACCCUCCGGCUCUUGGGCAGCAGCUCCUGAAAGGCCUCGUGCUGGAAUUGCCAAGGAAGAGCAGCCAUCUCCUUCACCACUCCGACCCAAUAAUUUUAACUGAAGUUUUUUCAUGGAAUAAAUUUAGAGUUGUUGAAA